UCCGGUUUGGCACCGGCAGUCCCCCGAGAGUCCUCAGCAGCUUGCGCUCUGUUAGCAACACGGGGCGGGGGUUGCGCUCGUUGCGGGACUUAACCCAACAUCUCACGACACGAGCUGACGACAGCCAUGCAGCACCUGUGCUGGAGCUCCGAAGAGGGGCCGGUGUUUCCACCAGCUUUCCCCAGCAUGUCAAGCCUAGGUAAGGUUCUGCGCGUUGCGUCGAAUUAAGCAACAUGCUCCGCCGCUUGUGCGGGGCCCCGUCAAUUCCUUUGAGUUUUAGCCUUGCGGCCGUACUCCCCAGGCGGGGUGCUUAAUGCGUUAGCUUCGGCACGGACGGGGUUGAUAUCCGCCCACACCUAGCACCCAUCGUUUACGGCGUGGACUAC
rnacentral:misc_RNA from 1 species